GAACGGCAGCACAGCAGUAGCAAUACUGUGGGUGGCGAGUGGCGGACGGGUGAGGAAUACAUCGGGAUCUACCUUUUCGUGGGGGAUAACGUAGGGAAACUUACGCUAAUACCGCAUACGCCCUACGGGGGAAAGCGGCGGACCGCAAGGCGUCGCGCGAUGAGAUGAACCGAUGUCCGAUUAGCUAGUUGGCGGGGUAAAGGCCCACCAAGGCGACGAUCGGUAGCUGAUCUGAGAGGAUGAUCAGCCACACUGGAACUGAGACACGGUCCAGACUCCUACGGGAGGCAGCAGUGGGGAAUAUUGGACAAUGGGCGCAAGCCUGAUCCAGCCAUGCCGCGUGGGUGAAGAAGGCCUUCGGGUUGUAAAGCCCUUUUGUCCGGAAAGAAAAGCACGGGAUUAAUACCCUCGUGUGAUGACGGUACCGGAAGAAUAAGCACCGGCUAACUUCGUGCCAGCAGCCGCGGUAAUACGAAGGGUGCAAGCGUUACUCGGAAUUACUGGGCGUAAAGCGUGCGUAGGUGGUUUGUUAAGUCUGUCGUGAAAUCCCCGGGCUCAACCUGGGAAUGGCGAUGGAUACUGGCAAGCUAGAGUGAGGUAGAGGAGAGUGGAAUUCCCGGUGUAGCAGUGAAAUGCGUAGAGAUCGGGAGGAACAUCAGUUGCGAAGGCGGCUCUCUGGACCAUCACUGACACUGAGGCA
rnacentral:rRNA from 1 species